CAGCCGCCGCGGUAAUACAGAGGAUGCAAGCGUUAUCCGGAAUGAUUGGGCGUAAAGCGUCUGUAGGUGGCUUUUCAAGUCCGCCGUCAAAUCCCAGGGCUCAACCCUGGACAGGCGGUGGAAACUACCAAGCUGGUGUACGGUAGGGGCAGAGGGAAUUUCCGGUGGAGCGGUAAAAUGCGUUGAGAUCGGAUAGAACACCAACGGUGAAGGCACUCUGCUGGGCCGACACUGACACUGAGAGACGAAAGCUAGGGGAGCAAAUGGGAUUAGAUACCCCCGUAGUCCCUGUCUCUUAUAC
rnacentral:rRNA from 1 species